rnacentral:rRNA from 1 species
CCUACGGGUGACAGCAGUGAGGAAUAUUGGUCAAUGGACGAGAGUCUGAACCAGCCAAGUAGCGUGAAGGAUGACUGCCCUAUGGGUUGUAAACUUCUUUUAUAAAGGAAUAAAACGAGGCACGCGUGCCUUUUUGCAUGUACUUUAUGAAUAAGGAUCGGCUAACUCCGUGCCAGCAGCCGCGGUAAUACGGAGGAUCCGAGCGUUAUCCGGAUUGAUUGGGUUUAAAGGGAGCGUAGAUGGGUUGUUAAGUCAGUUGUGAAAGUUUGCGGCUCAACCGUAAAAUUGCAAUUGAUACUGGCAGUCUUGAGGACAGUUGAGGUAGGCGGAAUUCGUGGUGUAGCGGUGAAAUGCUUAGAUAUCACGAAGAACCCCGAUUGCGAAGGCAGCUUACUAAACUGUGACUGACAUUGAUGCUCGAAAGUGUGGGUAUCAAACAGGAUUAGAUACCCGUGUAGUC